AACGAACGCUGGCGGCAUGCCUAACACAUGCAAGUCGAACGAGAUCUUCGGGUCUAGUGGCGCGCGGGUGCGUAACGCGUGGGAAUCUGCCCUUUGGUUCGGAAUAACAGUUGGAAACGACUGCUUAUACCGGAUGAUGACGAAAGUCCAAAGAUUUAUCGCCAGAGGAUGAGCCCGCGUAGGAUUAGCUAGUUGGUGUGGUAAAGGCGCACCAAGGCGACGAUCCUUAGCUGGUCUGAGAGGAUGAUCAGCCACACUGGGACUGAGACACGGCCCAGACUCCUACGGGAGGCAGCAGUGGGGAAUAUUGGACAAUGGGCGAAAGCCUGAUCCAGCAAUGCCGCGUGAGUGAUGAAGGCCUUAGGGUUGUAAAGCUCUUUUACCCGGGAUGAUAAUGACAGUACCGGGAGAAUAAGCUCCGGCUAACUCCGUGCCAGCCGCCGCCGUAACAC
rnacentral:rRNA from 1 species